UAAAAUUCCCAGAUCUUCAGGGAUCUAAGAUGAGAUAUGAGACAGAAUUACUUACAAGCAGUCAACUCCAAAUAUGUCCAGGAUUUAAACAGAGAAAUUCAACAGUCAUUUGGUUCUUUUUUUCAUUCUUAUGAAGCCCUUUCAUCCCUACAUUCAGCAUGAAGCAUUCAUCAAGUAAUCUCUUAAAAAUAAAUACGAAUAUAUUUGGUACAAAAGUCUCUAUACACACUAGUAAAGUAUGAUAAACUGGAAUAAAUGGAGACUCUGAAAGAGUGCAGUCAUAAUACACCAGGAAGUCCACACAGAAGCACAUUGGAGAUGACGUAUACUUACUUUCAAGUGGCAUAUCACAACUUGUGUCUUGGCAAGAGUGAUGGGCCCAUCAUGCAAGUGUCAACCAUUUGCAGCUAUUUGCCAAUUCUGCAUAAACCGAAGACCUCACUGAGUCUUAGUUAUCUUGUUAUUGAAGACAGAAUAUUUGGAUAACAA
rnacentral:lncRNA from 1 species